CCUACGGGUGGCAGCAGUGAGGAAUAUUGGUCAAUGGGCGCGAGCCUGAACCAGCCAAGCCGCGUGAAGGAAGACUGCCCUACGGGUUGUAAACUUCUUUUAUAAGGGAGUAAAGUGAGGCACGUGUGCCUUUUUGUAUGUACUUUAUGAAUAAGGAUCGGCUAACUCCGUGCCAGCAGCCGCGGUAAUACGGAGGAUCCGAGCGUUAUCCGGAUUUAUUGGGUUUAAAGGGAGCGUAGAUGGGUUUUUAAGUCAGUGGUGAAAGUCUGGGGCUCAACCCUAAGAGUGCAAUUGAUACUGGCGGGCUAGAGUACAGGUGAGGUAGGCGGAAUUCGUGGUGUAGCGGUGAAAUGCUUAGAUAUCACGAAGAACUCCGAUUGCGAAGGCAGCUUACUAAACAGCCACUGACAUUGAGGCUCGAAAGUGUGGGUAUCAAACAGGAUUAGAUACCCGAGUAGUC
rnacentral:rRNA from 1 species